UACGUGAGGGUGCAAGCGUUAAUCGGAAUUACUGGGCGUAAAGCGUGCGCAGGCGGUGAUGUAAGACAGAUGUGAAAUCCCCGGGCUCAACCUGGGAACUGCAUUUGUGACUGCAUCGCUGGAGUACGGCAGAGGGGGGAUGGAAUUCCGCGUGUAGCAGUGAAAUGCGUAGAUAUGCGGAGGAACACCGAUGGCGAAGGCAAUCCCCUGGGCCUGUACUGACGCUCAUGCACGAAAGCGUGGGGAGCAAACAGG
rnacentral:rRNA from 1 species